rnacentral:rRNA from 1 species
UGGGGAAUAUUGGGCAAUGGGACGCAAGUCUGACCCAGCAACGCCGCGUGAAGGAAGAAGGCUUUCGGGUUGUAAACUUCUUUGACAGGGGAAGAGCAGAAGACGGUACCCUGAAAACAAGCCACGGCUAACUACGUGCCAGCAGCCGCGGUAAUACGUAGGUGGCAAGCGUUGUCCGGAUUUACUGGGUGUAAAGGGCGUGCAGCCGGGUCGGCAAGUCAGAUGUGAAAUCCCCAGGCUUAACUUGGGAACUGCAUUUGAAACUGCUGAUCUUGAGUAUCGGAGAGGUAAUCGGAAUUCCUAGUGUAGCGGUGAAAUGCGUAGAUAUUAGG